AACUUGCACAGGUGUCCAUUGUGAAGUUAUAUUAUGUAAGCCUAUUGAUGUAAAAUUUUGUUUUCAUUGAAUACAUUUGGGUUCACAGAAGCUUCUAUCAGCUUAUUACAUGAAGAUGAAUCUUAGAAGAGUAGAGAAAUAAAAUUUCAAAUUGAAAGAGACAAAGUUUGAAAAGAAAUAUUUGCCCAAAGGAAAUUUAUUAUGAUUUGCAAAGAAAAACAACUCAGUUCUAUCCUGACCUUUGGUUGGAUUUCUAGAUGACCUUUAUAGGCACCUUCAAAUUCAGAACAAUGAAACUUGACAAAGAUGACACAAGAAGAAAUAGAAAAGAAAUAGAACACACGAAUAUUCUAAAGUACCGAAGAUUUAUAGCAACAAUCAAAUAAUUUCUCAAAUAUAAAACUGAUACAGA